rnacentral:rRNA from 1 species
AGAGUUUGAUCAUGGCUCAGAUUGAACGCUGGCGGUAGGCUUAACACAUGCAAGUCGAGCGAGAAAGUAUCUUCGGAUAUGAGUAGAGCGGCGGACGGGUGAGUAACGCGUAGGAAUCUACCUAGUAGAAGGGGAUAGCCCGGGGAAACUCGGAUUAAUACCGUAUACCUCCUAAGGGAGAAAGAGGGCCUCUCUUGAAGCUCUCGCUACUAGAUGAGCCUGCGUAAGAUUAGCUUGUUGGUAAGGUAAUGGCUUACCAAGGCUACGAUCUUUAGCUGGUCUGAGAGGACGAUCAGCCACAUUGGGACUGAGACACGGCCCAGACUCCUACGGGAGGCAGCAGUGGGGAAUAUUGGACAAUGGGCGCAAGCCUGAUCCAGCCAUACCGCGUGUGUGAAGAAGGCCUUCGGGUUGUAAAGCACUUUAAGCAGGGAGAAAAAGCAAUAAGUUAAUACCUUAUUGCCGUGAUGUUACCUGCAGAAUAAGCACCGGCUAAUUCCGUGCCAGCAGCCGCGGUAAUACGGAAGGUGCAAGCGUUAAUCGGAAUUACUGGGCGUAAAGCGCGCGUAGGUGGUUUGUUAAGUUGGAUGUGAAAGCCCUGGGCUCAACCUAGGAACUGCAUCCAAAACUAACUCACUAGAGUACGAUAGAGGGAGGUAGAAUUCAUAGUGUAGCGGUGGAAUGCGUAGAUAUUAUGAAGAAUACCAGUGGCGAAGGCGGCCUCCUGGAUCUGUACUGACACUAAGGUGCGAAAGCGUGGGUAGCGAACAGGAUUAGAUACCCUGGUAGUCCACGCCGUAAACGAUGACAACUAGCUGUUGGGAGACAAUGUCUUUCAGUGGCGCAGCUAACGUUUUAAGUUGUCCGCCUGGGGAGUACGGGCCGCAA